rnacentral:rRNA from 1 species
CCCUUAGAUGUUCUGGGUCGCACGCGCGCUACACUGGUGCGUUCAACAAGUUUACAACCUUGAUUGACAAGUCUGGGUAAUCUUUUGAAUGCGCACCGUGCUAGGGAUAGAUUAUUGCAAUUAUUAAUCUUGAACGAGGAAUUCCUAGUAAACGCAAGUCAUCAGCUUGCAUUGAUUACGUCCCUGCCCUUUGUACACACCGCCCGUCGCACCUACCGAUUGAAUGGUCCGGUGAAAUCUCGGGACGGCGGCUUGGUCGCUUGCGUCCGACUGCUGAAACUUGAUUAAACCAUAUCAUUUAGAGGAAGGUGAAGUCGUAACA